rnacentral:rRNA from 1 species
UGAGUACGAGCUGCUACGGCAGCGAAGUGGGUGACGUCAAGCUUCCAAGAAAAGCCCUACACCCGUUAAGGCAUGAUGGCCUGUACCCGAAACCGACACAGGUGGGGUGGUAGAGAAUACCGAGGGGCGCGAGGUAACUCUCUCUAAGGAACUCGGCAAAAUGGCCCCGUAACUUCGGGAGAAGGGGUGCCACCGCAAGGUGGUCGCAGUGAAGAGGCCCAGGCGACUGUUUACCAAAAACACAGGUCUCCGCUAAGUCGCAAGACGAUGUAUGGGGGCUGACGCCUGCCCAGUGCCGGAAGGUUAAGGAAGCUGGUCAGCGCAAGCGAAGCUGGCGACUGAAGCCCCGGUGAACGGCGGCCGUAACUAUAACGGUCCUAAGGUAGCGAAAUUCCUUGUCGGGUAAGUUCCGACCCGCACGAAAGGCGUAACGAUCUGGGCGCUGUCUCGGAGAGAGGCUCGGCGAAAUAGAAUUGUCUGUGAAGAUGCGGACUACGUGCACCCGGACAGAAAGACCCUAUGAAGCUUUACUGUAGCUUGGUAUUGUGCCCGGGCUCUGAAUGCGCAGGAUAGGUGGGAGGCUUUGAUCCAUUGCUUGUGGGUGAUGGUGAGCCAACGGUGAGAUACCACUCUUUCAGAGCUAGGGUUCUAACGGUCACCCGUUAUCCGGGGACCGGACAGUAUCAGGUGGGCAGUUUGACUGGUCGGUCGCCUCCUAAAAGGUAACGGAGGCGCGCAAAGGUUCCCUCAGGCUGGUUGGAAAUCAGCCGAUGAGUGUAAAGGCAGAAGGGAGCUUGACUGUGAGACCUACAAGUCGAACAGGGACGAAAGUCGGCCUUAGUGAUCCGACGGUUCUGAGUGGAAGGGCCGUCGCUCAACGGAUAAAAGUUACUCUAAGGAUAACAGGCUGAUCUCCCCCAAGAGUUCACAUCGACGGGGAGGUUUGGCACCUCGAUGUCGGCUCAUCGCAACCUGGGGCUGAAGUCGGUCCCAAGGGUUGGGCUGUUCGCCCAUUAAAGCGGUACGCGAGCUGGGUUCAGAACGUCGUGAGACAGUUCGGUCCAUAUCCGGUGCAUGCGCAGGAAUAUUGAGAGGAUUUCUCCCUAGUACGAGAGGACCGGGAGGAACGCACCUCUGGUGUACCAGUUAUCGUGCCAACGGUAAACGCUGGGUAGCCAUGUGCGGAGUGGAUAACCGCUGAAAGCAUCUAAGUGGGAAGCCCACCUCAAGAUGAGUAUUCCCAUGGCGUUAGCCAGUAAGGUCACGGGCAGAACACCCGUUGAUAGGCUCUACGUGGAAGCCGGGUAACCGGUGAAGCGGAGGAGUACUAAUAGACC